GCUUGCAGCCAUACUGGUGUGUCAAAGCCUGAUCUCGUCAGAGCUCUUCUGCUAAGCAGGGUUGGGCCUGGUUAAUACUUGGAUGGGAGACUGCUGGGAAUACCAGGUGCCACAGUGG
rnacentral:rRNA from 1 species